rnacentral:rRNA from 1 species
GAUGAACGCUGGCGGCGUGCCUAACACAUGCAAGUCGAACGGAGAAUUACCGCUGAAGAAGCUUCGGCCGAUUCUUGGUAAUUCUUAGUGGCGGACGGGUGAGUAACGCGUGGGUAACCUGCCUCGUACUGGGGGAUAGCAGUUGGAAACGACUGAUAAUACCGCAUAAGCGCACAGUGUCGCAUGACACGGUGUGAAAAACUCCGGUGGUACGAGAUGGACCCGCGUCAGAUUAGCUAGUUGGUGAGGUAAAGGCCCACCAAGGCGACGAUCUGUAGCCGGACUGAGAGGUCGAACGGCCACAUUGGGACUGAGACACGGCCCAAACUCCUACGGGAGGCAGCAGUGGGGGAUAUUGCACAAUGGAGGAAACUCUGAUGCAGCGACGCCGCGUGAGUGAAGAAGUAUUUCGGUAUGUAAAGCUCUAUCAGCAGGGAAGAAAGGCUCGUAAGAGAGAUGACGGUACCUGACUAAGAAGCUCCGGCUAAAUACGUGCCAGCAGCCGCGGUAAUACGUAUGGAGCAAGCGUUAUCCGGAUUUACUGGGUGUAAAGGGAGCGCAGACGGUCAAGCAAGUCUGAAGUGAAACCCCACGGCUCAACCGUGGGCUUGCUUUGGAAACUGUUUAACUAGAGUACUGGAGAGGUAAGCGGAAUUCCUAGUGUAGCGGUGAAAUGCGUAGAUAUUAGGAGGAACACCGGUGGCGAAGGCGGCUUACUGGACAGCAACUGACGUUGAGGCUCGAAGGCGUGGGGAGCAAACAGGAUUAGAUACCCUGGUAGUCCACGCGGUAAACGAUGAAUACUAGGUGUUGGGAGACAUAGUCUUUCAGUGCCGUCGCUAACGCAAUAAGUAU